rnacentral:lncRNA from 1 species
UGGAGCCAGUCUUCCCAAGGUGAAAUCCUAACUUUGCCACUUACUAGCCAUGUGAACUUGGGCAAGUGACCUAAUCCUCUGCAUUUCAUCUCUAAAUUGGGGAGAAUAGAAGCAUCUACUUCAUGUAGUAGCCAGGAUUAGAAGAGAUGGGGCCACUUGAGGGAAAAGACCUACCCAAGGGCACAUAAUCUGUACAUGAGAGAGAGCCAGAUGUAACAGACUGAGUACUGGACUUGGGGUUAAACAGACUGUGAAUCUUUCCACCCCAUUGGGAGGAAUAACUGGGCCCUGGAUAGAAUGUGAUGAAUGUAUAUUCUUAAUGAGAAGUGGAAAUAAUUUGUGGUUGAGAGCUGUGCCUCAGAUCAGAGUGACAGGAUACAUGGCUAGGCUAUAUUUUCCAGCAGAUUAAGAGCUGCGGCCCAAGACUCUGAAAUAUGAAGAAAAAAGGAGAAGAUGACAGCAUAUCUUUUUAAAGAAAUAUUUUCCAGCCAAAUGGUGUAGCAGAGGACUUCCAGGAAUUUGUUCUUGUUCUGUAUCAAAGGUGAAGAGUUCGUAGCCUUCAAGGAAACAAGAAACCAUGGGAUGGAGUGAAGGAAGGUGGCCUGGAACCAGCUGCUGAGCCUCUCUGAGCCCCAGUUUCCUCGUCUCUAAAAUGGGGCUGAUCUCCUCUCCCUCAGACUGUUGUUGCAGGAAUUAAAACAGGUGUUGAGUGGGAAAGCAUCAGUCCCAUAGCAAAUGGCCCCUGAGUAGUAGGAUCUGAGUUCUGGUUCUGGUCCUGCUGGGGUAUGGCUGGUUGAGAGGUCAAAGAGGUAAUUAAAGGGAUUGCCAGCUUCA